rnacentral:rRNA from 1 species
GACGAACGCUGGCGGCGUGCCUAACACAUGCAAGUCGAACGGGGCAGAGAGCUUCGGUUUUCUGCUUAGUGGCGAACGGGUGAGUAACGCGUGAGGAACCUGCCUUUCAGUGGGGGACAACAGUUGGAAACGACUGCUAAUACCGCAUAACAUGUACGGAUCGCAUGGUCUGUACAUCAAAGCUUUAUGUGCUGAAAGAUGGCCUCGCGUCUGAUUAGCUAGUUGGUGGGGUAACGGCCCACCAAGGCGACGAUCAGUAGCCGGCCUGAGAGGGUGAACGGCCACAUUGGGACUGAGACACGGCCCAAACUCCUACGGGAGGCAGCAGUGGGGAAUAUUGGACAAUGGGGGAAACCCUGAUCCAGCGACGCCGCGUGAGUGAAGAAGUAUUUCGGGUAUGUAAAGCUCUAUCAGCAGGAAAGAAGUUGACGGUACCUGACUAAGAAGCCCCGGNUAACUACGUG